rnacentral:tRNA from 1 species
GCAUUAGUGGUUCAGGGGUAGAAUUCAGGCUUUCCAUGACGGAGACCUGGGUUGGAUUCCCAGCCGAUGCA